rnacentral:rRNA from 1 species
AACGCGAAGAACCUUACCCAGGCUUGACAUGCAGAAGACGACGUCAGAGAUGAUGUUUUCCUUCGGGACUUCUGCACAGGUGCUGCAUGGCUGUCGUCAGCUCGUGCCGUGAGGUGUUGGGUUAAGUCCCGCAACGAGCGCAACCCUUAUCACUAGUUGCCAACAUUUAAGGUGGGAACUCUAGUGAGACUGCCCGGGUUAACCGGGAGGAAGGUGAGGAUGACGUCAAGUCCGCAUGGCCCUUAUGUCUGGGGCUACACACGUGCUACAAUGGCCGGUACAGAAGGCAGCGAAGCCGCGAGGUGGAGCAAAUCCAAAAAGCCGGUCCCAGUUCGGAUUGUAGUCUGCAACUCGACUACAUGAAGUUGGAAUUGCUAGUAAUGGCGUAUCAGCAACAACGCCGUGAAUACGUUCCCGGGCCUUGUACACACCGCACUACUA